AGUGAACGCUGGCGGUAGGCCUAACACAUGCAAGUCGAACGGCAGCACAGUAAGAGCUUGCUCUUACGGGUGGCGAGUGGCGGACGGGUGAGGAAUACAUCGGAAUCUACUUUUUCGUGGGGGAUAACGUAGGGAAACUUACGCUAAUACCGCAUACGACCUACGGGUGAAAGCAGGGGAUCUUCGGACCUUGCGCGAUUGAAUGAGCGGAUGUCGGAUUAGCUAGUUGGCGGGGUAAAGGCCCACCAAGGCGAGGAUCCGUAGCUGGUCUGAGAGGAUGAUCAGCCACACUGGAGGUGAGACACGGUCCAGACUCCUACGGGAGGCAGCAGUGGGGAAUAUUGGACAAUGGGCGCAAGCCUGAUCCAGCCAUACCGCGUGGGUGAAGAAGGCCUUCGGGUUGUAAAGCCCUUUUGUUGGGAAAGAAAAGCAGCAGGUUAAUACCCCGCUGUUCUGACGGUACCCAAAGAAUAAGCACCGGCUAACUUCGUG
rnacentral:rRNA from 1 species